GACGAACGCUGGCGGCGUGCCUAAUACAUGCAAGUAGAACGCACAGUUUAUACCGUAGCUUGCUACACCAUAGACUGUGAGUUGCGAACGGGUGAGUAACGCGUAGGUAACCUGCCUGGUAGCGGGGGAUAACUAUUGGAAACGAUAGCCAAUACCGCAUAAUAUUGAUUAUUGCAUGAUAAUUGAUUGAAAGAUGCUAUUGCAUCACUACCAGAUGGACCUGCGUUGUAUUAGCUAGUAGGUGAGGUAACGGCUCACCUAGGCGACGAUACAUAGCCGACCGGGGAGGGUGGUCGGCCACACGGGGACGGGGACACGGCCCAGACUCCUACGGGAGGCAGCAGUAGGGAAUCUUAGGCAAUGGACGAAAGUCUGACCGAACAACGCCGCGUGAGUGAAGAAGGUUUUCGGAUCGUAAAGCUCUGUUGUAAGAGAAGAACGGGUGUGAGAGUGGAAAGUUCACAUUGUGACGGUACCUGACCAGAAAGGGACGGCUAACUACGUG
rnacentral:rRNA from 1 species